GCUUGUCCCAGCACAGCAUUAAUGAAGAAACAAGGCCAGAGCUGUAUGCUGUGAAAGUGAUAAAACCUGAUCUGGUCACAGAGAUCCGCCGCUUUCGAUCUCCUGGUUUCUACACCCUGCCCGGCUAGCAGGGCAUUGUGCAGCACCCUUUCCAGCCCACCUGGGUGCGGGAGAUCGAGGAGGAGGGUAAGGGACCGACUAUCAGUGAGCAUCUGCCAUCCAGCUCCAUCCCAUCUAGAGCAACAGCAGCAGCAAUUAUCCUUUCUCCUUCUCUGCCUGGGGCAGAGACCCCCAGUGCCCAGCUGGAGGAGGUGGAGGUGGAGGAGAAGGAUGUGUCCCCAGAACAAGCCACCAUCAGGGUCAUCCAGCAGCACCUCCAGAGGUACAAAAAUCCCCCAUCUGCACUGCCACCGAGUCGGUCCUGCCCCUUGUUCCAUCCCCACCUAUACAGGGGGGUCUUGUCCCAGAGAAACCAUCACCCCUAAUGGGGGGCACUUCUCCUCUGUUAUCUGAGACUCCAAAGUAGGGGUGUUUGUCCCACAUAGGCCAAGGUGUCCUCUCCCCACAGACACUGUCCCAGUUACAACCCCUGUCUGUACAGGUCGACACUGUGGUUUUGGGAAGCGGGGGUGCUUUCCUGGUCCAACCCCAUGGAGGUUCUGAAUCCUGAAGCUGCUUUGGGUGGGGCGGGAAGGUCCCUACCUAACAGGCUCCCUCUCUCUCUUCCCCCAAUCCCACUCAUAGUGGGUGCAGGACAGGGCCAAAGAGCUCCGCUUUCUCCAUGCUGUCCCGAGUCUGUGCUUCUCGGCACAGAGGCAGGGGCAGGACACCCUGGAACGCCACUUCUCGAAAGUGGCCCUUGUGGAGAGCAUUGUGGUUAGUGGGACCCCGUGCCUGGCC